AGAGUUUGAUCCUGGCUCAGGAUGAACGCUAGCUACAGGCUUAACACAUGCAAGUCGAGGGGAAACGACAUCGAAAGCUUGCUUUUGAUGGGCGUCGACCGGCGCACGGGUGAGUAACGCGUAUCCAACCUGCCCCACCACUUGGGGAUAACCUUGCGAAAGUAAGACUAAUACCCAAUGAUAUCUCUAGAAGACAUCUGAAAAGAGAUUUAAAGAUUCAUCGGUGAUGGAUGGGGAUGCGUCUGAUUAGCUUGUUGGCGGGGUAACGGCCCACCAAGGCAACGAUCAGUAGGGGUUCUGAGAGGAAGGUCCCCCACAUUGGAACUGAGACACGGUCCAAACUCCUACGGGAGGCAGCA
rnacentral:rRNA from 1 species